rnacentral:rRNA from 1 species
GAGUUCUGGGCCGCACGCGCGCUACACUGACGGGUUCAGCGGGUUCUUCCUUGGCCGAGACGCCCGGGUAAUCCUGCAAACCCCGACGUGCUGGGGAUAGAGCAUUGCAAUUAUUGCUCUUCAACGAGGAAUCCCUUGUAAGCGCAAGUCAUCAGCUUGCGUUGAAUACGUCCCUGCCCUUUGUACACACCGCCCGUCGCUACUACCGAUUGAAUGGCUCAGUGAGGCGUCCGGACUGGCCCAGGGAGGUGGGCAACUACCACCCAGGGCCGGGAAGCUCUCCAAACUCGGUCAUUUAGAGGAAGUAAAAGUCGUAACAAGGUCUCCGUUGGUGAACCAGCGGAGGGAUCAUUACCGAGUUUCUACUCAUAACCCAUUGUGAACAUACCUUUUGUUGCUUCGGCGGACCGGGGGAGCCCUCUCGGGGGCCGACCCGCCGCCGGGGAAGACCAAACCUCUGUUUUUACCAUGUGUAUCUUCUGAGUAAACUAUAAAUAAAUCAAAACCUUUAACAACGGAUCUCUUGGCUCUGGCAUCGAUGAAGAACGCAGCGAAAUGCGAAAAGUAAUGUGAAUUGCAGAAUUCAGUGAAUCAUCGAAUCUUUGAACGCACAUUGCGCCCGCCGGUACUCCGGCGGGCAUGCCUGUCCGAGCGUCAUUUCAACCCUCAGCGACCUCCUUCCGGGGAGCGUGGCUGGUGUUGGGGCUCGGCCGCUCCCCAGCGGCCGUCCCCUAAAUGAAUGGGGGUCCCGACCGCGAUCCCUGCGUAGUACUGCACCUCCACCGGAAAGCCUCGUGGCCAGCCCGUGAAACCCCCCAAUUUUUCAAUGGGUGAACCUCCGGAUCAGGGAAGGAAAAACCCCCCUGAAACUUAAGCCAUUUUCAAUUAAGCCGGGAGGGGAAAAAAAAAACCCAACCGGGGGGAUUGGCCCUCCA